rnacentral:rRNA from 1 species
UACGGAAGGCAGCAGUGGGGAAUAUUGCACAAUGGGCGAAAGCCCGAUGCAGCUAUGCCGCGUGUAUGAAGAAGGCCUUAGGGUUGUAAAGUACUUUCAUCGGGGAGGAAAAAACAAAACUAAUAAUUUUAUUUCUUGACGUUACCCGAAAAAGAAGCACCGGCUAACUCCGUGCCAGCAGCCGCGGUAAUACGGAGGGUGCUAGCGUUAAUCAGAAUUACUGGGCGUAAAGAGCACGUAGGUGGUUUUUUUAAGUCAGAUGUGAAAUCCCUGGGCUUAACCUAGGAACUGCAUUUUGAAACUGAAAUACUAGAGUAUCGUAGAGGGAGGUAGAAUUCUAGGUGUAGCGGUGAAAUGCGUAGAUAUCUGGAGGAAUACCUGUGGCGAAAGCGGCCUCCUAAACGAAUACUGACACUGAGGGUGCGAAAGCGUGGGGAGCAAACAGGGAUUAGAUACC